GCCUACGGCCACACCACCCUGAAAGUGCCCGAUCUCGUCUGAUCUCGGAAGCCAAGCAGGGUCGGGCCUGGUUACUACUUGGAUGGGAAAAAGUUCACAAAAGUUUGUUUCGUCAUUU
rnacentral:rRNA from 1 species